rnacentral:rRNA from 1 species
GACGAACGCUGGCGGCGUGCUUAACACAUGCAAGUCGAACGGAAAGGCCCUGCUUUUGUGGGGUGCUCGAGUGGCGAACGGGUGCGUAACACGUGAGUAACCUGCCCUUGACUUUGGGAUAACUUCAGGAAACUGGGGCUAAUACCGGAUAGGAGCUCCUGUUGCAUGGUGGGGGGUGGAAAGUUUCGGCGGUUGGGGAUGGACUUGCGGCUUAUCAGCUUGUUGGUUGGGUAGUGGCUUACCAAGGCGUGGACGGGUAGCCGGCCGGAGAGGGUGAUCGGCCACACUGGAACUGAGACAGGGUCCUGACGCCUACGGGACGCAGCAGUGGGGAAUAUUGGACAAUGGGCGCAAGCCUGAUCCAGCCAUACCGAGUGGGUGGAGAAGGCGUUCCGGUUGUAAAGCCCUUUUGUUGGGAAAGAAAAGCAGCAGGUUAAUACCCCGCGGUUCUGACGGUACCCAAAGAAUAAGCACCGGCUAACUUCGUG